rnacentral:rRNA from 1 species
GCCAGCAGCCACAUCACCCUGCAUUUCACAACUGGCAGCCCACUGAAGCUCAGCAGGUAUGAACCUGGUCAGUACCUGGAUGGGAGACUUCUGGGAAAGCUAAGGUUGCUGCUGGAA